GGAGCAGAGAGACAAGGAAAUGCUGUCACCGCUGUUAACACGCACGUGGAGGUUGGUUAAAGGGAAGACCUGGGUUUUAGUCCUGUCUCCAUCAACCUCAAGAAAUGGGACCUCAUGGAAGGGAGGGGAGGCAAUGCCGAGGAUGUGCUCCUGAGCAGGUGUCACAAUUCUUCACCUGUAAGAUUGCUGACAGAAAAGUGAGACCUCCUCCACCCCAAGGUCUCCUAAGAGAAUGCUGCUAGCCAAAAAAAGAUCUGCUGAUAAUUGAGGAAGAGCAUCUUUAAAAAGACACUCAACUACAUUUCAGAAACAUAAAGAUCUAAGUGUUGGCUCUACAAGGGAAGAAAUAAAGAGAAAGAACUUUUUUCCUCCUACAACAGGUCUAGACAACGUCAUACAAGGAGUUGCACGCAUAUCCAAAACAAAAGCAAGGCAAAAACAAGCAAAAAAGCAACAAAUGCAUUCCAAAAUGAUGUCCAUUUAUCAGCCCAGAAAUGUACUGGAUACUGGUUUAGUUCAGCCUGUAGGUGCUGGGAAGAAAUUCCGACAAAUCCAAGUCAGUUGCAAAAAGGGAAAACUCCAGACAUAUCACCCAAUGAACUUGUAAGAAAGCAUAUGAGCUUCCCUGAACAGACUUUACUCCAGGUUUGCAGCCCGCAAGGUUUAAGAUCGGGCCAUGAGGUUAAAUCUUGUAAACUCAGAAGUGUUCACGCUACUGCAUCCCUAAACUCUGUAAUUCUCUACAUACCCUUUAAAGCAGUGUUUCUCUGCAUCUUUCAUUCCAUAGCCAUUGUCCACCUGAUCCAAAAUAUCCUAAAUUUUUCAGUGUUUGGAAGCAGGGUUUCCAAUUUUUGUGUAUACACAAAAGGGGUGUGUGUGUGAAAAAAUAAGUAUUAGAAAAAAAACAUGUUAUACAUAUCUAUCACAGAAAUGAGUGGGCAAGGUUUAUAAGAUGGCUGAAACAAAGCCAAUACUAAGGUCUACUGGUUGGCUGCAACAAGUUUAAAAUGUCUUCAUAAGGGCCCUGGUUGGGCAAUACUAUACUUGCUGACAGUACUUGGGAUCUGCCACAGACCUAUAGCAAAGGACUGUUCAACUUCUCCAAAAAGCUGGUAUUAACCACCAGAAGAAAUAAGAAGUUCAAGGCCAAAAUAUCCAAAUGAACCAACCACUCUACUUGCUGAAAUGCCAUAAAGCUUCUUUACCCCAGACAUUUGCCCAAAUCUUAUAAUUUCUUUUCUCCUCUCUGACAGGCCUCCAGAGGCCCAAACUUUAAUAGAAUCUGAGAGAAAAAAGUGGCCAGUCUAUCUGCUGUCUAGAGUGAUGCCAAACUCUUUCUCCCGGAGCCAGUUCUCCCCGUUGAGCAGUCAGGUGAGGAUCCGAUUAUUAACAAACUCUACUUGGGUCUCCUUGGCAAAGAGUUUCUGGCUUCAGCAGCCUAGCUCAGGGGGCUUCAUAAUUAUGUCAGACUCGCUUUUUUUCUUGUAGUUGCUUUUAACCAAAGAGGUUAAGCCUCUGUACAACCAAGAGGAAGAACUAGAAUUAGAAAACUUACCAAUCGUCCCAGCCAAUGAUAAUCCAUUUCCAACAGGUAUUAACGCCUGUUAGAAGCCACUGGAACACUGACAUCAUCAGCCCAAUUGAUAGGUUGUCUGAUAGAUUCGCCCCCUUCAUCGCACACAAGAAUUUAAAACAAAACAAGACACUGCAGUUAUAUUCAUUAUUGCAGACAAUGGGUUUCUUUGUGUUAGUAAUUGAAAUUACUGCUGUGGUCUGGACUCCAUCAUUAUUUCCUUUGCAGCCUGUGAGCCAGCCAACACUCUAAACUUUCUAGCCCUAAAAAUUGUAUCAUCCAGAAUACCAACUCAAUAUAGCCCUCCACUGUGAAACUGAAUGCCUUCUGGGGUACAGCAUGAAACCGUUUUAGACAGUGCAUGCCAGUGCACCUUGAAACAGUGUCCAUCUGUAAUGAAAUCUGUAAACGGGAAACUUGGGCCAAUUUAUUGUUUAAACCAGAUCUACUGGCUCAUACCUUUCUCUAGGAAACAAUAAGUGAACAAGAAGUAACCUCAGAAGAAGAAAGAACUUUGGGAGAAUGCACUGAGAAAGGCCAGACUGAGUCCCCUUGGAUGAAGUUAAUUAAGAAACAAACAUGACAGGAUAUUGCAAUCAAAACCAAGGAAUGCAGUGAGGACAGGUUUCUCAGUUGCCCAGAGGAGAAAACAUAGUUCCUUUUGAACUAAAAUUAGAAAGCCGCUGGCAAGGAAACAUAAGAAGCAUGGGUAAGAGGCUGAAAACCGUAAGUCAGCAAUGGGGAUGGAGGUGGGUACAGGAAGAGAGCGAGUAUCUAUUUUGUUUUAUUUCUUCUGUAAUUCCUUAAGAUUGUUUGCGCCUGAGCUUUGGGACUGCAGUAGUCUCCCCUACGGGGCGUCAAGUAACAGGCUGGGAGCUCUGGCAAGAAGUUCUCAAACUUCUCACAAUUCUGCUAAGAGCUUGCAGAUAUCUAGCUGGAAGAUCAAGGAUCCAAGUGAAAACACUGAAGGAAGGUUUUUGCCCACUCCCCAGUGAGAGGUCAUCUGCCCAGGGAGUGCUCUCGUGUCCUGACACCAUCGCCCGACUGGGGAUAUAUCAGUAACCGGGCUGUCGUCGAUGCCGAGCAGUGCCCAUCUGGUUGGCAGCGUCCGGGUCUCAAGCGUUCCCUCGCCCCUAUCUGUUCUCCGGGGAGCCCUGAAUCGCUGGUGGGCAUCUACAGUUAAGAGUGCAGGAAGGCCUCUCAGACACGGGGCGAACACAAGGGCUGUUGGCUGCCUCCUCAGAGCCGAUCCAGGCAUAGUUCGCCCAGGCGGGAGAGCGGCGUUGAAGUGGGUCGGCACCCGUCUGAGGGGUGCCAGGCCACCCCGGUGCCCGCUCCUCUCGCCGGCCCCCGGAAGCGCCGCCCUCCCGCCCGGCGGGCUCCGAGGAGGCGGGGAGUCGAACGCCCCCUUCCGGGUGCCUCCGCCUGGCUGGCCGGCCCCGCUCCUCCUCCGGGCGGGAAUCCUCCCUCCCCCGCCCCUCCUGAAGCCGGGCCCCGACGCCAGACCCAGCCCCAGGGGGGAACCCCCGGCCUCGGCUCCCUCUCCCCGCGGCCUCUGCCCGUCUUCCUGACCCUUGGGGGCCGGGAAGACUCCGCCGGCAGCGGCCGGGACCCACCGCUCAUUACGACAUCUUCCUCCCUGGCCUCCGCCGCCUCCGCCGCCACCGAGAGCCUGACACCGCCCGCCAAGCAACCGCCAAUCCCGGAGCCCGCCACCGCCCGAGCGACGGCAGCCUUCACCAAUAAGCGCUUGGAACAUUGGGGACCGACAGCACUAUUAACCAAUCAACCAGAGGCGUCUAGAGCGACGUUGAUUUGACCAAUAGGUCUGUGCAAUGUCACUGAUGGACGGUAGAGCGCACCAACCGAAAGCCAAUUGAAUAAUGAGUGACAUGUGCAUCAGCCAAUUGGAGGGAGGGUUGUCCUCAUCUAAUCCGUCAGUACCAGACAGUGAACAUCUCUCCCCCAGGAUGCUGAGGGAGGGUGCUGGAGGGAAGGAUGUGGAACUACAGCCUCUGCUCUCAAGAAGCUCAGAUCUGGGCAGGGAACAUCACAUACCAGGGCUGUCGGGGGGUGGAGGGCUGGGGGAGGGAUAGCAUUAGGGGAAAUACCUAAUGUAAAUGACAAGUUGAUGGGUGCAGCAAACCAACAUGGCACAUGUAUACCUAUGUAACAAACCUGCUGUUGUGCACAUGUACCCUAGAACUUAAAGUAUAAUUAAAAAAAAAAAAAAGCUUCAGAUCCCUCCUGGAGCCUCCUA